rnacentral:rRNA from 1 species
UACGGGGGGGCAAGCGUUGUUCGGAAUUACUGGGCGUAAAGGGUUCGUAGGUGGCUUGCUAAGUCAGACGUGAAAUCCCUCAGCUUAACUGGGGAACUGCGUCUGAGACUGGUGAGCUUGAGUGCAGGAGAGGAACGCGGAAUUCCAGGUGUAGCGGUGAAAUGCGUAGAUAUCUGGAGGAACACCGGUGGCGAAGGCGGCGUUCUGGACUGCUACUGACACUGAGGAACGAAAGCCAGGGGAGCAAACGGG